rnacentral:lncRNA from 1 species
GUUUGACAAACACCAAUUUUGAUCAUUGAGAAGCUUAAUAUUCCCUUUACAACACAACGUAAUUAAAACGUUAAGCUGAUUUUACAGAGUUAUCUCCCUGUAGUGUUAGGUACCACCUUAAAUGUCAAAAUGCCUACGUUGUUCAGCAAGAUGAUUGCUUGUGAUACCAGACGAAUGUCUAUUAAAAAUUUAUCAUAAAUGUACACACACUGUGCGGUUAUUUUCAAUUCAAUUAUCACAUGAAUCAAAUAAAUAGGGGAAAGAAGAAAACAAAUUGUGAUAUUACUUCAGAAUUUAUAUUGGUGUUUGGCAUUACGAAAAUCUGUAUACAUGAUUCAUAUUGAAAUUAGUAUUUCCUAAAUUCGUGCUAGUACAAAUAGCAAAAAUAACGUUGAAAUUGUUAACAUCUGUUUUUGUUGUCGACAAAAGUUAAUAACAGACGUAUCGUUCAAAUUCUUUAAGCGUUAAACAGUUUUAAAAUAAUUUAAAGUUUAUAAUGCGUUUCCCUCAGUUUUAGUUUGUUACCCCGAUUUUGUUUUUUGUCCAUAGAUUUAUUAGUUUUGAACAGCGGUAUACUACUGUUGCCUUUAUUCAUAUCUAUUUAUUAUUUUUUAUUGUUUAGUGUUGCCAAUAGCAAAGGGCUAUGUGCAUAAUAUCAGAUGCACUACUGACACCCUUGGUUAAAUUUGAUAAAAGUAUACAUUGCAAUCACUGUACCCGGGCGGCAAGAUUAAUUUGUUUAGAAAUAAAUCUUUAAAUAUAUGGAAACUCUCCUCAUGUGAAGGUGACUUGGGUGCACCAUUAACAUUAAGGCUAUCAUCUCUUAUCAAAAUCAACUUCAACAGAAGUUUACAUUCAAAGACAAACAUAGUAUAGGGGUAAAAAUAAAUACGAAAGGAAUUACAGAAUUGUGUACAGUCUACACCAGGUUAGUUGUGAUAGGCCACUAAGUAGCACUGCAUAUUUGAUUUAUAAGUGUUUCUUUUUCUUUAACACAUUAUUAAUGUAAAAUGUACUAGGCGUAAUCAUUUGAUAUAUUCUUGAAAAUUAAGUAUAAAAAACGCUUACAUCACCCUUAAAUAUUUGCUAAAUACAUAUGGCAACAGACUUUUGUUUUUAGAUAAUGAAAAUACAUAAGUUUAAAACAAAAUCGAAGUUGACAUCUGCUGACCCUUUCGUAUAGCAUUAAAUUUAGUGAUUCUGUUUUUAGGUUGAUUGUUUGGUAGUUUCACACGUCACAAACCGGUCGAAGAACUGCGUAGGCAAUUAUUCGCAAUAUCAUGUGCCGGUGUUAUAUAGCCAUUCUUCCCCCAUGCCAGUUUUUUACCCUGGGGAAAUUUUGGAUCAUUGCCAUUCUUCACCCGCGGAAAUUUGACAAUACGUAAACAUAUUAUCACUUUUCCCCCAUGCCAAUCUUUCCCCCAUAGAAUAGAUUUCACUAUAUCUAUAUCAGUCUGAAAAUUAAACCCAACAGAGUUGGAAUUAGAUUUUUAUGCUGACAACUAUUUUUUGUCAAUGUCGACAUGGUCAUCAGCCUGGCUAUGUGUGUGGCGAAGUCAAUAAAGUUAACUAUACUUGUCAAUUAGUAUUUAUUGCUUAAUUUACAAGUAUUCAAAGAGCGAUUAAAAGUUCAAAUAAAUGUUUUUCUGCUGAUUAAUGUAUGGAACACAAUUGUGUAACAUGUGUCCACUCGUCUGUCUGUAUUUUCCUGAGGGGGGGCAAGGGGUUUAACUGUUAUGCUGUUAUGGGGCAAUUUAAUUCUUUGUUAUCUGUUAUUUUGAAAAUAUAUUUGCUGUUAGCUGUUAUUGUCUUAUUCUUUGUUAGCUGUUAUUGGGCUUUUAGUUUUUUUGUUAUCUGUUAUUGUGAUAAUGUAUUUGCUGUUAACUGUGAUUGAAAAUUGGAAUGUUAGCAUUUUUUUUGACAGUCAAUAUUCGGUAUAAAUUGAAGAUCAUUGGCCAUUGGGGUCUACCACUACUAAUAUGUUUGUCCCGUAUUCAGAGAAGGAUUCCAUUAACAUAUACACAUCACAGAAGUGAGGUCCAGGACAAUUCAAGUAUAUCUUAUGAUUAUCCUUUGUAAUAAAUUCCAUUUUUUUUUAUGAAUGUGUAUUUAGAAUUAUCUUAAUUUUUUGUAUGAGAAUAAUGUUCCUUGUUUUCCGUACGAACAUAUUAAAUUAAAACAAUUCUUAAUAUGACAAAAAGGAAAACAUAUGGCCAGGAGUAUCUUACAAGGAUCUCAGUUAAGGACAAGGUCCUAACAACCACUUAACCUUUUAUAUUAUAUGGUACAUAGACUCAGCUCUGUGAUUCUUUUCAAAGCAGAACCAAAUGCAUUGUACAAUGAAAGUUCCAACCAUGUACUUGGGUCCGAAGCUGCACAUAACUCAUUACAAACAAAGAUUUAUUUCGUUUCAAGCCAUUGUUUCCCUUCUAAACUAUGUAUUCUACUUACUAGUACACUUGGUACAAUCAAAAACCUCAGCUGAUAAAAAAUUGUUCAAAUAAGGCCUUUGAAAAUAGUGGAAUAAAUUGCUUUUAGAGUGUCAAAAUUCGUUCGAAGUACUUGAUAAAUUGCAUGCUUAUAAUUGGUGCUUUUGAUUUUUCUACCCUAUAUACCACUUUUCCUCAUAGUUUUAUUAAUAAAAAUUCACACACCUCAUUAAAUGGUCAUUUAGAAAAAGUCAGAAACUCUUUUAGGUCACUUUUUUUAUUAGCAACAAAGGGAGCUUCAGUCAAUAUAUAUAAACAAUACACUAACGUUUCAUGAGAACUGCUGAAAACAUUUUUGUGUUAAUGUCUGAAAACUGGAAAAAUCACCCCUUUUUAAUUAAUAAAACCCGUUAACUCGGAAACGUAAAAUCUAAAAUUUAUAAAAAUUGAAAGUUACCUCGUGUUAAUAGAUAUAAAAAAUUCACCAAAAUUCCUUGCUUUGUGAAAGCAUUUUUGAGAUAUUAUCAGAAAACUGAAAAAAAAACACCAAUUUUAUUGAAUAAAAACCCAUUACCUACCCAGAAACUUAAAAUCUAAAAUUUAUAAAAAAAAACCAAAACCAAAAAGGGAGCUCACGUCAAUAGAUAUAAACAAUUUCCCAAAGUUUAAUUCAAAUGGUUAAAGUGUUUUUGAGUUAAUGUCCGACAGGUUGACAACAGACGGACAACAGUAUACCAUAAUACGUUCCGUAAACGAGCGUAUAUAAAAUAUUAUAAUAUAUUGAGUAGUAGUUUAAACACAUUCUAGACACAUAAAUUAAUACUAAAAACAUAGUCAUAAAAAAUGGAAUGCAUUACAAAGGAUUAUAUCCGUAAUAAGAAAUACUGAUUUGUCAAAAACCGAAUUAUUUUAAUAUUUCAUUUACUGUUAUCUGUUUUUGUCCAUUUUAAUUCCUUGUUAUCUGUUAUGAGCCAAAUCAAUUUGCUGUUUUGCUGUUAUUGGGACCCCCCUUGCCCCCCUCCUCUUUCCUCAGUGUUUUCUAGUAGUCAUCUAGUCGGUUUACAUUCUCAACAGGAUAUAUAUUCGCAAAUCUGUUUACAUGUUUACCAGUCUGUCUAUUUCCACUAGUCCGUCUACAUUUUCAUCGAUCUGUCUAUUUGUCUACUUGUCUGUCUGCAUGUUUAACAGUCGGACUUCAUAUUCACUGGUCCGUCUAUGUCUACUAUUAUGUCUACAGGUCCAUCAACCUGUCUCUGUGUUCACUAAUCUAUCUACAUGUUUACAAGUCAGUUUACGUUUCCAUCAGUACUACAUGUCAAUAUGUCUGUGUUCAUGUUCAUCAGUCCGUCUAUAUUUUUUUGCCGUCUGUAAUUGCAUUUUUUUUUGUAUUAUUUUGUAUGAUCAUCCGAAUCUUCAAUAUGCUGACAUUUAAAUGCAUUCUUUUGACCUGGCAACUUACAACUUACUUUUAUUAUUUUUAUUCUUUACAAGGUGUAUACUCCAUACUAAUACCAUAAUCCUUUGAACUGCCAGCUGAAGUUUUCAUUUGGGUUUAUUAUAAGCCAAGGAACAUUUUAUCCCCACAAAAAUGCACGUUGCACGUUUAGUUUUAAUGAUUUAGCUUCACAAAUUGUGACUUGGAUGGAGAGUUAUUUGUCUCAUCGGCACCCAUACCACAUCUUCUUAUUUCUAUUAUCAUUCUCGGGGUAGGGAGGGGUAGGAAGGGUCUUGAUUCCGAAAGUCCGGGCUUAAAAACACGAAAUCUUGAGGUCCCAAAUUUAAAUAAAUUUAAAUCCUGAUAUCCCGAAAUUCGAAAAAAGAAUUCCUGGAUCCCGAAAGAGUCAAUCUCGAAAUCCCGAGCUUAAAAACACCUGAAAUAAAUAAAUCAAAUGAAUAUUGAUACGAUGAGGGUUUGGUAGCGCUUAACUAAUAAAAAAGUUACUAUUAUUUUUUUUUUUUUUAAUAUUUAUAAAACUGACUUCGCGAACGUUAUAUUUCAAGGGGGAAAAAAUAGAUUCUCGUCCUAUAAGGAAGAAAAAUUGGUCUGGUCCUGUUUUUUCCCCAAUCUCACUGAGGGGGAAAAGUUAGAUCAUGCCAAUUUUUCCGGGGGGGAAAUUGGAUCGAUCCAGUUUUUCCCCCCGGAAAAAUUGGCAUGGGGGAAGAAUGGCUAUAGGACACCGGUAUAGUGUGCUGAAUGUGCUCCUUUGCACACUAACUUACUAUAAGAUAAUGUUCAUAAGAAAAGCGUGCACACAUAUACAUGUACAAAUAUUCGUGUCUUUAAUUUAGAUUCUUAUUAUCACAAAAGACAUCUAAAAUGACUCUCAUAAAUUGUAAAAUUAUAUAAAUGCAUUUGACAUACUUUUUUGUUUUAUAUGAAUAUUAUAACUUGAGUGUCCAUGUGUCUUAUUUAAAACAGAGAUAACAAAUUUGGGUUUUAAACUAUAUGUAUGUAUAUUAUAUAUGUCAAAUACACUAUAUCGAUCUACAAUAUGUUUUCAUUUGAUCAGUGUUAUUUAAAUGCGCAUAUACAGACAUUUGUUUUACGGGUGAAUAAACUAUAGGAAACGUAUAUGUAAACAAUUUAGGGUUUACCAAUAAUUUGGUGUAUUUAAAUAGUGUGGACUAAUAAAAUGACCAUAACAACUUUUUGUCUAUCAUUCAGGACAUAAACCAUGAAAAGUAAGUUGCAAAAGAAGUCGAUAUUAUUACAAACAUAUAUAUAUAUAUUAAAUUAGCAUUGACUCAUACCGAACAGCAAGGUACAAAGAGCCUCAAAUAUGACUUAUUUGAACAGGUCUUAUCUAUAUUUAUAUCAAGAAACACUGUGAACUACUGGACGGGUUCCUGACUUAUGACAUGUGCAAACAAAUACAGCAGGCUUAAACGUUUAAACAGGCGCCAACCCUCACCCUAACCUGAAACAGUGGUAUAACAUUGCAACAUAGAACACAUUUAAUGUACAUUUUUAAGUACAUCAUGUUUACUUCAUCGCUGAACCCGGUAGUUAAAUUGAUCAAUUAAUUUGAAGAAAAGUCGUAGGGUUCUAAGAAUGAUAUCAAGAAUAGUACACUGACCAAGUGAUUGAUUCACCUAAGCAAAAUAUUUUUAUUCGAGGCAGCAAACAUCAGGUUGGAAAUAACCACUUACCAAAGUACUGAAGUACUGAACAUCGAAUGUGGAUGGUCCGACAAGUACUUGUCUCAGAAAAAAAUCACAUCUCUCUCUAUAUCUGAAAGUGAGGUUAAUUUUCUGAUAUAAUUUGUUUCUGGGACAAGUUCGUGCGUAGAUGAUACAUGUAAAUUGAUUACAGGGAAUUCAUCCUCACCGUUAUGACUAUUAUAUUGUAGUGAUAUAAAUCAGUAUACUUUGGUUUAUUGUAAUAUAUCAUAUUUAUACUUGUAUAUUACAGUUACAUAAAUUAUAUAUACUAGAACACACCCGCGAAAUCGCGGGCAUUCAGAGCGUAGUUUAAAGUAUGUAAAGUGUUGUUGGAAGAAUUUUGUUAAAUAUUGAAUGACCACACCCGCGAAAUCGCGAGCACUGAUUUAGAGCGUUGUUUAAAGUAUGUAAAGUGUUGAUGGAAGAAUUUUGUAAAAUAUUGAAUGACCACACCCGCGAAAUCGCGGGCAUUCAGACCGUAGUUUAAAGUAUGUAAAGUGUUGUUGGAGGAAUUUUGUAAAAUAUUGAAUGACCACACCCGCGAAAUCGCGGGCAUUCAGAGCGUAGUUUAAAGUAUGUAAAGUGUUGUUGGAAAAAUUUUGUAAAAUAUUGAAUGACUGGAGAAUUUCAGCAAAAGUAUCAUAAGUCAUAGUUUAUUGGGGACAGGAAAAUGCUUUUUUUUAUCCCUCCUCCUUUAUUUCGAAAAUUUCCAAUUUUUGGUUUUCUAUCAAUUUCAAUAUGAACAUACAUUUAGUAUGUUAUGAACAUUUAAGUAAGGAGCCUGUAAUUCAGUGGUUGUCGUUUGUUUAUGUGUUACAUAUUUGUUUUUGUUCAUUUUUUGUACAUAAAUAAGGCCGCUAGUUUUCUGGUUUUGAAUUGUUUUACAUUGUCAGUUCGUGGCCUUUUAAAGCUGAGUAUGCGGUAUGGGCUUUGCUCGUUGUUGAAGGUCGUACGAUGACCUGUAUAGUUGUUAAUUUCUGUGUCAUAUUGGUCUCUUGUGGAGAGUUGUCUCAACAUGGCAAUCAUACCACAUCUUCUUUUUUUUGUAAAAGAUUUAAUGACUGGAGAAUUUCAGAAAAGGUAUCAAAAGUUCACAUGAAUAUUUUUAGCGCUUAUCUGUAUAUUGUGAACAUUCAUUACUAUAUAAGGCAGCAACCAUUUGAUUUUCUGGGGGGGGGGGGGCUAUGGAUUUUUUUUUCUGAACAAUCUAUUUUUUUGGCGACAAGUCGAAAACAAUUUUUUUCUUUCAAUUUUAGCAUAACAUAUAGUGGCAGCUGAGGGUGAAACAAAAAAUUUUUUUUUCUCAAAACUGGAAACAAACUUGUUUUUCCAAAAAAAUCCAUAGCCCCCCCCCCCCCCCCUUCCAGAAAAUCAAAUGGUUGCUGCCUAAAUAUAGUGUAUUUACUUUCAAUUCUAAGUUUACUAAUCGAUCCAUGGUGGUCAUUGAUAUAGUAUACAGACCCUCUCUUUUUAAUAAACUUUGUGACCGCCGUGGAUAGUAAACUUGAAAAUGAUAGCAGAUAGAAUUCUGAAAAUACACUUUAUUUUUUGUAUAGUAUACAGAAAAACGCAAACCGGAAGUCUAAUCUGACUUAAAAUUUUGUCCAAUGACGGGACAAUAUCCGGAUGCCUUUUUUCUCGUUUUUCUCCCAAAAUAACUCAAUCUGAAUAAUCAUAUAAAUGGAUGACAAAUGCGACUAUGCACUGUACCUAUACGACACAGAGGCGUGUUGAUUAAUUUAUAGUGGAAAGACAGGUGCUUUUAAUGUUAAUCGACGACCAGUUUUCCUACCGAAGGUCGGUGGUUCAGUUCUGUUUUCUCUUGGCACUCUUUCUUCCUCAGUCAUAAAAACUAGUCUCCACGAAAUGAUAAACAGCUGCAAGUAAUCAAUCGAAGUUCAAUUAAAAAUAUCUGUCAUUAAAAAAAUAGAUUUUUUAUAUAUAGAUUUUCAUCUUGAUUUCUAAGUUAAUGUAAAGUUCAAUUUAAUGCGACUGUAACCCAGAUUUAAGCCACCAUUUUCUGCAUAGGAAAUUGCCUGUAUCAAGGUCAGGAAUAUGACAGUUGUGUCAUUCGUUUGAUGUGUUGGAGCUUUUUGUUUUGCCAUUUGGUUAUGGACUUUCCGUUUUGAAUUUUUUUAAUUAAACGUCAACAAAGGUUACUUUUUUCAAUUGACUUGUUCGAUGGCGUGUAUUGUCCGAUGACAGGUGUUGCACUUAAAGACAGGACUAUAUAUUUGGUAAGAUUGCUUUGAAGAUAGUAGGGAAGAAAAUUUUUUUGUAGUUGCGAGUCAGUAUCUUAUUAGACUAUUUUUAAAAACAAAUUAUUUGGUAUCAAUUUUAAGUACUUUAAAUACAAUAUUAAGGGUAGAAAACCAGUAUUUUGAGUGUUCUUAAGAUAAUUCUUGAUCUUCAGUAAUUACCAUAUUCUAUCACUAUUUAUUUUUAAGUACUCUCAUUUAACAAUUAUCCAAUAAACAUAAUGAGAAAAUCAAAAAUGACCUAUUGACACAUAAAGCACACCCCAAUAAAUAUUGGGAGUGUACAAGUGUAAUUCAAAGUGUAAGAGUUUCACAUCUAUUAGGAGUAAAAGAUUCCAAAAAAGACAAACAACAGAAUGCAAAACUAAACACGAUCCCCACCCAAAACCGGGGAUGGUCUAUGAAGGCUUGGGGAGGGUAAGCAAAUAAUAGAUGUUCACCCAGAUCUUCUUUUAUUCAUUUAACCUAGCACAUGGCUUGAGAGUUCAAUCAUUGUCGCGUAAAACAAAAUUGCAACAUUCAUCUGUUGAAGGUAAUAGCUUUGUUAUGGGGUUAUUCCCUUAUUUCUCAUUUCAUUAUACGGGGUCGAAAUUAGACUAAUAAAAAUCUGAAUCAGUCCAAAUAAUCUUUACGUGAUAUCAUUGUUGACAGCUACGACUUGGUGCAAUCUAGACUUACCUUUGCGUGUCGUUGUUUUACGUGCUAGUUUCUAAAAAAAAAUCUACAAUAUAUAAUGUGUCGGGUAAACUUCAAAAGUAUUUUUUUUCGGUUAUUCUGUCUAUUUGGAUGGUGAAGAAAUAUGGUCACGACAGGUCUUCUACAGACAGGCAGUCAAACCCUUGCCAAUGUGGGGAGUCUGUUUGGUUGUUUGGGAUGUACCAACUACGCAGUCGCAUAGGGUCGUAAUGGCUCGUGAAGAGACAGUUUCACGCUAUCUGCACGUUAAGAGUCAUUGUAACAGCUCUCUGAGGGACCCAUAGGUGUCAUGUUGGAAGGCUGGUCGAAUUUGUGCCCCUAUCCAAUAUACGCUCAUUUUCCCGUGGCAGUCCAAAUUUUACCGACCUGCAACCCAGUUGACUUGUAAGCCCAGAUUUACCUAUUGUACUUACUCACUUUUAAUUUUAUUGAUAAUUUCUACUCGUCCUAAAUAUGCAUGAAAUAAUUAAACAACCAAUUACAACCAAUUCAUGCAUCCUGUCAUUUUGGACAUCGUUUUUUAAUUAUCUGUGCUCUUUAUGUGGCCUCCAUUUAUGAGACAUGCGCGUGCAAUCGUCUAUGCACAGUAAAUAUAUGCUUUACACUGCAUUAAUAUUAUUUUAUUAUUAUUUAGGACAAUAAAAGAUUAAAAUUAAAGACAAGAUUUUGAGUCAAUUUCCAACAUGGCCGUAGGUAAGUCUGUUGCAAUCAGUCUAAUGAAACUCAAAAUAUACCUCCAAUGUUAGAAUCUAGUACAAAUGUACCUACCCUAUUUUACAAUGAAAUACAUUUUUAAAAAUUGAAAGUUUGCAUUUCUUUGCUUUUACAACAACAGACAACUGAUACUAUUGUCGAAUGUUAAAAAGGCUUGUAAUGAAAUUUAUCACGCAAACGGCUUAACAAAAUUUCGUGACUGUCGUAAAUGAAGAGGAAUAUAGUACUUAGUGUUUUUCUUGUCAUUCAAUUUCUAAUUUUGCGAAGAACUGAUAUAUAGUGAUCAUGAUGAUGAUAUAACAGAAAGACACAUUAUAUUUCAGCACUAUAUUAGUUAGAUUAAUGAAUUUUACUCUUAAAAUAAAAAAAAAACAACUGGUAAAUAUUUAUCAAAUAUUUUACCAAAUUCUAAAUAAAACAGUAUAUCUUAAUUCUGAUGUAUAUACGAAUGCUUUAAAAGGCGUCGAUUAAACCGAUCCUUACCAAUGCUUCACUGAAAACAAUUCUUACCAAUGCAUCANNNNNNNNNNNNNNNNNNNNNNNNNNNNNNNNNNNNNNNNNNNNNNNNNNNNNNNNNNNNNNNNNNNNNNNNNNNNNNNNNNNNNNNNNNNNNNNNNNNNNNNNNNNNNNNNNNNNNNNNNNNNNNNNNNNNNNNNNNNNNNNNNNNNNNNNNNNNNNNNNNNNNNNNNNNNNNNNNNNNNNNNNNNNNNNNNNNNNNNNNNNNNNNNNNNNNNNNNNNNNNNNNNNNNNNNNNNNNNNNNNNNNNNNNNNNNNNNNNNNNNNNNNNNNNNNNNNNNNNNNNNNNNNNNNNNNNNNNNNNNNNNNNNNNNNNNNNNNNNNNNNNNNNNNNNNNNNNNNNNNNNNNNNNNNNNNNNNNNNNNNNNNNNNNNNNNNNNNNNNNNNNNNNNNNNNNNNNNNNNNNNNNNNNNNNNNNNNNNNNNNNNNNNNNNNNNNNNNNNNNNNNNNNNNNNNNNNNNNNNNNNNNNNNNNNNNNNNNNNNNNNNNNNNNNNNNNNNNNNNNNNNNNNNNNNNNNNNNNNNNNNNNNNNNNNNNNNNNNNNNNNNNNNNNNNNNNNNNNNNNNNNNNNNNNNNNNNNNNNNNNNNNNNNNNNNNNNNNNNNNNNNNNNNNNNNNNNNNNNNNNNNNNNNNNNNNNNNNNNNNNNNNNNNNNNNNNNNNNNNNNNNNNNNNNNNNNNNNNNNNNNNNNNNNNNNNNNNNNNNNNNNNNNNNNNNNNNNNNNNNNNNNNNNNNNNNNNNNNNNNNNNNNNNNNNNNNNNNNNNNNNNNNNNNNNNNNNNNNNNNNNNNNNNNNNNNNNNNNNNNNNNNNNNNNNNNNNNNNNNNNNNNNNNNNNNNNNNNNNNNNNNNNNNNNNNNNNNNNNNNNNNNNNNNNNNNNNNNNNNNNNNNNNNNNNNNNNNNNNNNNNNNNNNNNNNNNNNNNNNNNNNNNNNNNNNNNNNNNNNNNNNNNNNNNNNNNNNNNNNNNNNNNNNNNNNNNNNNNNNNNNNNNNNNNNNNNNNNNNNUGGGUUGCAAUGAAAGAGUUUUUGUAAUCCAUUAAUUGGGAACUUAAGUACCAAAAACAAGGUUAUUUUAUACAAUUUAUCAGAUUAAAAAUUUAGCAGUCAGAAAACUUCAAUUCCGUCUGUUGUUCCCCAUUGCUUUUAAUAGAAAAUAAUUUUUUGCUAUUGAGAAAUUUAGCAAUAUCUAAAAAUCUUGUCAACAUUGAAAGUACCGAACAAAAAAUUAACCAGUUCCACAAGCAAAAGAAGUUUUGACCCAGUCCAUCACCUUGUAAAAACUGUAUAAAUCUUUCUAAAUCAGUUAUCUGUGUAGAUAACUGCUGAAUCAGCUUUUCUUUAACCUUGCCUGGGUUAACUAUCUGUAAAAGAAAGAAAAUUCAUAAAAUUACUACAUGUAGAUAAAUUUUACCGGUUUUCAUGUACUGUGAAUUCAGAAAUUAUUGUGCAUUUAUUUUUGCCAUUUUGUCAUUUUUGACUAAAGUGAGAUUUCAAUUUUUGCGAUAUAGAGGAAAAUUCCUGUUUAAUUCAUAUAAACAAAAUCAAAAUGCAAGUUUUAAAUAUUUAGUGGCCAAUUAUAACCUAAGAUUUUAUUUUUUAUCGUAUAAUUAAUUUGAUUACUCACCAAAAUCUUUGGUGUUUUUAAUGAAAUUUUGACCUGGUAAUGCUUUUAAUUCCUUAGUUGAGGGAUUUUCCUUCCCAACUUAGAAAUAACAUAGUUGCUAUUUUUCUGAAUUAUCUUAUCAUAUUUUCUUAUUUUAUCACACUAACAAUUAAUAACCCAUCAAAUAAUGUAAGCAGCCAUGCAUUUAAUAUUAAUUUGCUUAAAAUUAGAAUUACUGGAUCUGAAUUUUUAAGGAGAAUUAUUUCGAAUGAUUUUUGGAAAGGUUACUUGUUUUGUUUGGAAUCAUAGAUUUACUAUUACAAGUAAGCUCUGAGCAUAGUUGAAGUAUGCUUGGAGCUUUAUAAGUAGGCUCUCUUCAGUAGUUCAUAUGACAAUAGUUAUCAUGAUCUAUUAGGAUGUCUGUCAGAGCUUUAGCAUUUCUCAUGUUUCUAUACAAAGCUAGAAAAGUACUACUCAGAAGAGUCUUCUUAAAAAGCUCUGAGCAUCCUAGGGUUAUUGCCCUUUAAUGACAAGUCAUCCCCAUUAGAAUUUUUUUAACAGAAACUAUAGUAAACAGAGAAAAACUGUGACUAGCAAAAAUAUAAACAAAAUUAGAUCUAAAAAUAGAUUAAAGACUCCACAUUCGAAUACGUCUGGAAUAGCUUUGAAUUUUGUCAUUGCCAACUGUCCAUUGUAAGAUUUGAUCUAUAUGAUCCCUUGUGGCAACCUUUUAGAGUUCACAUACCAUUAAUGUUCUUUCAUAGUGAUGCAGCACAUGCAAAACUUACAAUAUUUUUGUACAAAUUCUAAAAUGAAUUUAAAGUGAGGAGAGCAGCGUGUCUGUCCAUGGUGGACAGGUGAACAUGUCAAAAUCUGUGUGUUUAUAGUGGACAGGUGGUAAUUGCUUAAUCCAUGAGAGUUGUUGUGUACCUUCAAGUGGAACACAUUAAUGACAAUUAUAAUUUCAGCCAUCUUAAAAUGAAAUUAUCUCUGUUUUGAUUUAGUUUUAUAUUCUUUUUUAACAUUUAUACGCUUCAUCCAAAACCUGCUUUUAUCAUAUACAUAUAUAUACUUAGUGCUCCCUUUGUCACCUUCAAGUUUAGCAAUACUAAUAAAAAAAAUAUAUAUAACAGUGGCGGAUCCAGGGGGGGGUUCAAGGGUUGGAACCCCCCUUUUUUUUGGCCGAUCAAUGCAUUUGAAUGGGAGCAUAUAGUUGAAACCCCCCCCCCCCCUUUACUCUGGGUUGGGAACCCCCCUUUUUAAAAUGGCUGGAUCCGCCACUGAUAAUAGAUAGAUCUAACAAGAACAAUCAAAUAUAUGAUAUUUUUCAACCAUAAGCUGUUUCUGAAUUGAUUGCAUGGGGGUAGAAAGGUACUUCUAUCCAAUUUAGAUGAGUUACAAUUAUUUUAAUUAAAUUUAUUAAUUUGAUUUAAUACAUAUGCACGUGCUAGGAGCUGUCUGAAAGUUGCAGUGAGGUGAGAGGUUUUGUUUUGCACCCUGUUGAAGAAGUUGCAGUGAGGUGAGAGGUUUUGUUUUGCACCCUGUUGAAGGCCUCAUUGUGACUUUGAGAUGAAGAACAGCAAUAAAAGAGUUGUUUUACUUUGUGUGUGUUCUUUGCUCUGCAUGUACUGAUUUUGUGUUAUGUAUGAAAACCCCAUAUAACCUUUGUUUUAUAUUUAUAAAUAUGACAGUUUGUAAAAAGGACCCAACUCAUCUUUGAUCUUAGAAUGACCAAAAUUGUGAGAGAAAAAAAACAUACAGUGUAUAUCCUUGCAGCUUAUACUACUUGGUAAUGUAUUCAUGAGCUGAAAAGUUGGUAUGAGUAAUGGUAUGCUCAUGAUCAAGGUUGGGAACUCACAACCUUGAGUGUUGACUCACUAAUAAUAUAAUAGAUGAACUUCUUAGACCACUUGUCACACAAGGCUUCUUACUUACUUGAAGUGCAUUCUGCAUAUAUGAUCAUUUCUAAAACUGUAUAUUUUGUUAUUUUUAGUGUAUUUCAUUUUUGAAGAACAUAAAAUGUCUUUUUCAGGGGAGGCAACAAGUCCUGGGCCUUUAGGAAAGGAGAGAUGCACAUGUACAGUUCAUAAGGUUUGUCAGAUUUAAAUUUGUCAAUAAAUUUUGUCCCUAGUGUUUUGCCAAGUAAUUAAUUUUUAAAGAGUUAUGCCUCUUGGAAAUAUACAUUGUUAGCACAUGGUUAAUGCUUGCCUUUUAUGAAACAUAUAUCAUAGGUUCACAUCUGACACCAUAAUGUCUCAGAAAGUUAAAAAAAUAAUCAAUUUUAAUAGAGUUAUGUCCCUUGGAAACAUUAAUUAUAGUGGAAAUUACAUUACAUUUGCUCUCAAACCUUCAUUUCUUCAAGAUAUUUAUGAUAUAAAAAGAUUGUUUUAAAGUUAUUGCACUGGCACUUCUAUUAAAUUACCGACGUGUAACGUUUAACUGUAAUGUAAUUUUUUUAAUGAAAAAUAAAAAAAAAUUGGCAAAAAAUAAUUUAUAGCUUUAAAAAAAAAGGCCAGAAGUGUCAUGAUUUUUAAGGAAUUUGAAAAUAGAGGAAGGGAAGGUUGUUAUAAACCAUUUAUAAAUUGUAUAAACCUUAAAAUUGAGAAUGGAAAUGGGGAAUGUGUCAAAGAGACAACAACCCGACCAAAUAAAAAACAACAGCAGAGGGUCACCAACAGGUCUUCAAUGUAGCGAGAAAUUCCCGCACCCGGAGGCGUCCUUCAGCUGGCCCCUAAACAAAUAUAUACUAGUCCAGUGAUAAUGAACGCCAUACUAAUUUCCAAAUUGUACACAAGAAACUAAAAUUAAAAUAAUACAAGACUAACAAAGACCAGAGGCUCCUGACUUGGGACAGGCGCAAAAAUGCGGCGGGGUUAAACAUGUUUGUGAGAUCUCAACCCUCCUCCUAUACCUCUAACCAAUGUAGAAAAGUAAACGUAUAAUGUAUUUUCUUUUAGUUUCCUUCUGGUGAUUGUUCAGAUACCUCUUCAAAAGAUUGUAAAGUACGAGACAGAAAUACAAACAAGCACAAUAAAAAGGUAAAUAUACAAUAAAUCAGGAGACUGUAUAGAUUCAUAGAGGGCCAUAGCUGGAUUAGACACAACUUUUCAUAACUUUUGGUGUUUAACACUAUUUAAAUUCUUCGUUUUGUAUUUCAUGAAUCUUGACACAAUUUUUUUUUUUUUUAAAUAGAUACUUGUUUUUUCCAAAUAUUUCCUGCUUACAAUUUCCUCAGUUGCCCAGGAUACGAUUUUAAAUAAUUCUUUCUUUGUACAGUUGAUACUCAAUGUUAAUUAUUUCAUAAUAUUCAUUUCUCUGAUUCUUAGCAGAUUUAUUCUCUUCAUGACCUGUUGAUAAUGUUUGUUAAUAAACAUGUGGUCUGUUUGAUUUGACUUCAACGUUUGCUUGCUUUCCUCUGCAUUUCCUGUUGCGACCAAAUCUUGUACAUUACGAUAUUUCUUCACUCGAGUGUUAAACUUUAAAUAUUUUUAAAAACACUUGGCAAGCCUUGGUUUUAAUUUUGAAAAUUCAGCAGUCUCCAGUAGAGAAACAGUGUAUAAGGCUUGAUAUAGUGGUAGAAUCUAUAUUUAUACAUAUGCAUGUAUAUGCAACUCUUUAAAUGUAUCUAAUUUCUACAGAAUGUGAAAGAAACAAAAGCAUUUAUAAAGAAGAGUAUCGAGUUACUACAGAUGUUCCUCAUUAGUCAGUUUGGAUGUGGUGGGAGGGACUUCCAGAGAAACUUACUGAAGAAAACAACAAAAGGCAAUCAUUGGGGGUAGGUAUUUAGUCAGUUUGGAUGUGGUGGGAGGGAAUUCCAGAGAAACUUACUGAAGAAAACAACAAAAGGCAAUCCUUGGGGGUAGGUAUUUAGUCAGUUUGGAUGUGGUGGGAGGGACUUCCAGAGAACUUACUGAAGAAAAACAACAAAAGGCAAUCAUUGGGGUAGGUAUUUAGUCAGUUUGGAUGUGUGGGGGGACUUCCAAAGAAACUUACUGAAGAAAACAACAAAAGGCAAUCAUUGGGGUAGGUAUUUAGUCAGUUUGGAUGUGGUGGGAGGGACUUCCAGAGAAACUUACUGAAGAAAACAACAAAAGGCAUCAUGUGGGGUAGGUAUUUAGUCAGUUUGGAUGUGGUGGGAGGGACUUCCAGAGAAACUUACUGAAGAAAACAACAAAAGGCAAUCAUUGGGGUAGGUAUUUAGUCAGUUUUGGAUGUGGUGGAGGGACUUCCAAGAAACUUACUGAAGAAAACAACAAAAGGCAAUCAUUGGGGGUAGGUAUUUAGUCAGUUGAUGUGGUGGAGGGACUUCCAGAGAAACUUACUGAAGAAAACAACAAAAGGCAAUCAUUGGGGGUAGGUAUUUAGUCAGUUUGGAUGUGGUGGGAGGGACUUCCAGAGAAACUUACUGAAGAAAACAACAAAAGGCAAUCAUUGGGGGUAGGUAUUUAGUCAGUUUGGAUGUGGUGGGAGGGACUUCCAGAGAAAACUUACUGAAGAAAACAACAAAAGGCAAUCAUUGGGGGUAGGUAUUUAGUCAGUUUGGAUGUGGUGGGAGGGACUUCCAGAGAAACUAACUGAAGAAAAACAACAAAAGGCAAUCAUUGGGGGUAGGUAUUUAGUCAGUUUGGAUGUGGUGGGAGGGACUUCCAGAGAAACUUACUGAAGAAAACAACAAAAAGGCAAUCAUUGGGGUAGGUAUUUAGUCAGUUUGGAUGUGGUGGGAGGGACUUCCAGAGAAACUUACUGAAGAAAACAACAAAAGCAAUCAUUGGGGUAAGUAUUUAGUCAGUUUGGAUGUGGUGGGAGGACUUCCAGGGAAACUUACUGAAGAAAACUGAAGAAAACAACAAAAGGCAAUCAUUGGGGGUAGGUAUUUAGUCAGUUUGGAUGUGGUGGAGGGACUUCCAGAGAAACUUACUGAAGAAAACAACAAAAACAUUGGGAAGAGAAAACAGGUAUCAAAAGGCAAUCAUUGGGGUAGGUAUUUAGUCAGUUUGGAUGUAGGUGGGAGGACUUCCAGAGAAACUUACUGAAGAAAACAACAAAAGGCAAUCAUUGGGGUAGGUAUUUAGUCAGUUUGGAUGUGGUGGGAGGGACUUCCAGAGAAACUUACUGAAGAAAACAACAAAAGGCAAUCAUUGGGGGGUAUUUAGUCAGUUUGGAUUGGUGGGAGGACUUCCAGAGAAACUUACUGAAGAAAACAACAAAAGGCAAUCAUUUGGGGGUAGGUAUUAGUCAGUUUGGAUGUGGUGGGAGGGACUUCCAGAGAAACUUACUGAAGAAAACAACAAAAGGCAAUCAUUGGGGUAGGUAUUUAGUCAGUUUGGAUGUGGUGGGAGGGACUUCCAGAGAAACUUACUGAAGAAAACAACAAAAGGCAAUCAUUGGGGGUAGUAUUUAGUCAGUUUGGAUAGUGGUGGGAGGACUUCCAGAGAAAACUUACUGAAGAAAAACAACAAAAGGCAAUCAUUGGGGUAGGUAUUUAGUCAGUUUGGAUGUGGUGGGAGGGACUUCCAGAGAAACUUACUGAAGAAAACAACAAAAGGCAAUCAUUGGGGGUAGGUAUUUAGUCAGUUUGGAUGUGGUGGGAGGGACUUCCAGAGAAACUUACUGAAGAAAACAACAAAAGGCAAUCAUUAGGGGUGUAGGUAUUUAGUCAGUUUGGAUGUGGUGGAGGGACUUCCAGAGAAACUUACUGAAGAAAACAACAAAAGGCAAUCAUUGGGGGUAGGUAUUUAGUCAGUUUGGAUGUGGUGGGAGGGACUUCCAGAGAAACUUACUGAAGAAAACAACAAAAGGCUAAUCAAUCAUUGGGGUAGGUAUUUAGUCAGUUUGGAUGUGGUGGGAGGGACUUCCAGAGAAACUUACUGAAGAAAACAACAAAAGGCAAUCAUUGGGGGUAGGUAUUUAAGUCAGUUUGGAUGUGGUGGAGGGACUUCCAGAGAAACUUACUGAAGAAAACAACAAAAGGCAAUCAUUGGGGUAGGUAUUUAGUCAGUUUGGAUGUGGUGGGAGGGACUUCCAGAGAAAACUUACUGAAGAAAACAAACAAAGGCAAUCAUUGGGGUAGGUAUUUAGUCAGUUUGGAUGUAGUGGAGAGGACUUCCAGAGAAACUUACUGAAGAAACAACAAAAGGAUCAUUGGGGGUAGGUAUUUUAGUCAGUAUUGGAUGGGUUGGGGGACUUCAGAGAAACUUACUGAAGAAAACAACAAAAGGCAAUCAUUGGGGUAGGUAUUUAGUCAGUUUGGAUGUGUGGAGGGACUUCCAGAGAAACUUACUGAAGAAAAACAAAAAAGGCAAUCAUUGGGGUAGGUAUUAGUCAGUUUGGAUGUGGUGGGAGGGACUUCCAGAGAAACUUACUGAAGAAAACAACAAAAGGCAAUCAUUGGGGGUAGGUAUUUAGUCAGUUUGGAUGUGGUGGGAGGGACUUCCAGAGAAACUUACUGAAGAAAACAACAAAAGGCAAUCAUUGGGGUAGGUAUUUAGUCAGUUUGGAUGUGGUGGGAGGACUUCCAGAGAAACUUACUGAAGAAAACAACAACAAAGGCAAUCAUUGGGGGUAGUAUUUAGUCAUUUGGAUGUGGUGGGAGGGACUAUCCAGAGAAACUUACUGAAGAAAACAACAAAAGGCAAUCAUUGGGGGGUAGUUUUAGUCAGUUUGGAUGUGGUGGGAGGGACUUUCCAGAGAAACUUACUGAAGAAAACAACAAAAAGGUCAAUCAAUUGGGGGUAGGUAUUUUAGUCAGUUUGGAUGUGGUGGGAGGGACUUCCAGAGAAACUUACUGAAGAGAAAACAACAAAAGUCAAUCAUUGGGGGUAGGUAUUUAGUCAGUUUGGAUGUGGUGGGAGGACUUCCAGAGAAACUUACUGAAGAAAACAACAAAAGGCAAUCAUUGGGGGUAGGUAUUAAAGGAAGUAAACACAAAAAUCCACUCGAAAUCCACUCAAAUCCUCUCUAAAUCCACUCGAAAUCUCUCAAAGGAUCUAUAAUAUGUAGAUAUAUAAAAAUGUUUAUUGUCGAGCCUUCGACUUUAGUCGAAAAAGUGAGACAUAUCGAUCUUACAUUCCGUCAGUGGCGGCGUCCACAAAUAUUCUCUCUGUGGUUAAAGUUUUUGAAAUUUUAAUAACUUUCUUAACUAUCCUUGAAUUGUACGAAACUUGGACAGAAGCUUGUUUAUGUUCAUAAGAUAGUAUCCAGAAGUAAAUUUUGUAAAAAAAAAUUCCAUUUUUUUCCGUAUUUUCUUAUAAUGGACUUAGUUUUUCUGCCCAGGAAACAUUACAUUCACUCUGUGGUUAAAGUUUUUAAAAUUUUAAUAACUUUCUUAAACUAUCCUGGAAAUAUACAGAACUUGGCCAGAAGCUUUUUUAUGAUCAGGAGAUAGUAUCCAGAAGUAAAUUUUGUAAAAAAAAAAUUCCAUUUUUUCCGUAUUUUACUUAUAAAUGGACUUAGUUUUUUCUGCCAGGAAACAUUACAUUCACUCUGUGGUUAAAGUUUUUAAAAUUUUAAUAACUUUCUUAAACUAUCCUGGAAUUGUACAGAACUUGGCCAGAAGCUUGUUUAUGAUCAGAAGAUAGUAUUCAGAAGUAAAUUUUGUAAAAAAAAAAUCCAUUUUUCCUGUAUUUUACUUAUAAAUGGACUUAGUUUUUCUUCCAGUUAACAUUACAUACAGUCUGCAGUUAAAGUAUUUAAAACAUUUUUAAGAUUCUUAAACUAGCCUGGAUUUUUACCAAACUUGGACAGAAGCUUCUGACAAUCAAAAGAUAGUAAUGAAAGGAAUUAAUUUAUUGAUUUUUUUCAUCAUUUUUGAUGAGUGUGUGAUAAACAGCAAAAGUAGGCGAGACACUGGGUUCCGCGGAACCUUUGCAAAUUUUUUUUACUGAUAAGGUUUGUAAUAGAUGAAAAAAAAUAAUUUGUAGAUUAUGAUUUAAAACUCCUCGUGUAAGAGCCAACUUGAGUUAUUGAUUAGGAAAACAAAUGUUUAAAGAAUAUGUAUGAGUAAACUUGUAACCAAGUCAAUACUUCUUAAUUAAGCAUUAUGAAAAAAAUAUACGGAAUAGAAAAAUAUCGACUUGAUUUUAGCUUGAUGUUUCUAUUUGUAGAGACUUACGAGCUAGGUUAGAGGUUGCUAUAAACAAAGUAUUAGAGGCAGCCGUAGAGGAGGAAAAAAAUCAGGAGAAAGACGACAGGUUCAGUGAAUAUGGCAGCGAUUCAGAGGAGGCAAGAAUGAAUAAACUGACCUCUAAUUAUAAAUUAUCAUUGGUCAUCUCAACUAGAUUGAUUUUCUCGCUAGACUGGGCACAGCAAGAGUGAUAAGAGCAUUUGAGUUGCAAUGACCAAGGAUAAUCUGUUAUUUGGCUAUUUUACCUAUGGCGAUGUUAAUUUCAUUGGCAACGGGCAUGUGCACCCAUAGUUUCUAUCGAUAAUUUGUCAUAUCACUCGACUGUGCUGAGAAUGGAAAUUAUCAGUCUGAAGAUUUUGUAAACGUAUUGAAUUAGUAAAAUAAUAUUUUAUCCCUUUUUAUGUAUAGCUUAAUGUGAAGUAUAAAUUUGCAGAAAAAAUUGUUUGUAAAUACUUCACAUCCACUGCACAAAACAUUUAAAUGAAUAUAAAAUUUUUACAAAAUGAUCUUUGAAGCAAAUUGUGAAAUGUUAACCAGUAUACAUUUAUUUCUGGAAUAACCCUUAUAUCAGUUAGCUUAUUUAUCUUGUUUAUUUUACUAACCGUGCAAGGGCUGUAUAGUCAGACAAGGUCAUUAAAAACUUUCAUUUGUUGUUUUUUAUUGUACAGAGUCAAGAACAAAGCAGUGCUUUGCUUACCCAGACUGUGAGAAGAGAUCUUUCAAUGGCCAUUAGAGAUUUGAUUGAACAUGGACUUAUGGAGGUAUGUCACAGGUUAUUCUUGGUAAAGAAGGGUAGGGGCCUUGGUAGCUGAAGGGUCUAAAUAGUUACUACUGUAAUCACUCUCCAGUCAACACUAUUUGUGAGUUCAACCCUGCUUGUGCCGAUACACUUGACUCCAAUCUUAAUUGAAUAGGAUGUCAGUUUUCAGAUAUAAGGAUAGUGGUUUUCUCUGUGCACUCUGGCUUCCUCCACCAAUAAAAACUGGUCUCAUGAAAUAGCCAAAAAACAGUACUUAAAAGUGGUAUUAAAACACAGAAAAUCCAAAACUAAAAAAAUAAUAAUGGGUAAAAUUUAGAAAGUGUUAAAAGAGACAACAACCAAACCAAAAAGCAGAAUACAAACCAAGGACACCAAUUGGUCUCCAGCUGAGGCCCACCUCCCGAACCUGAACCUGUAAUAUCCAUAUACUAGUCACACUAAACUCUGAAACAUAUAAAUGAAUGGAAAUUUAAACAAACAUGCAUGACUAACAAAGGGACAUGUUAUUUUUUGUGUGAACUAGAAUGGUAUCGAUUUCUCCUCAGUGUGUUGAAUUAUGGUUCUUACUUGCAUCCCAUUUUAAUGUUCAAGUCCUGAAUACACAUUUUAAUGUUCAAGUCCUGAGUACACAUUUUAAUGUUCAAGUCCUGAAUACACAUUUUAAUGUUCAAGUCCUCAAUACACAUUUUAAUGUUCAAGUCCUGAGUACACAUUUUAAUGUUCAAGUCCUGAGUACACAUUUUAAUGUUCAAGUCCUCAAUACACAUUUUAAUGUUCAAGUCCUGAAUACACAUUUUAAUUUCAAGGACUUUUGAAAGAAGAAAGUAAUGUGAAUACAAAUUGUUGUGAAAAUAUAAAACUUUGAUCUUUUCUUAUACAAAUAUGUCAUCAAGGAUAUUUAAGAAAAAACUUUUUUUUUUUUUCAUGAAAAUAAGUUUUUUUAGUUAUAGUAUUACCAGAAUGUCAAGAAAUAUUUUAUUAUUAAUGAUACAUUUCUCUGCCUUUACAUCUUCUAUUUACUUUUCAAACAAUUGUUUUGUAGAUAGGACAGAGUAAGAGUGUAGUACCGUGGGGAUGUUUUCCAUCGAGGUCAGGGCAGGUAACCAGACAGAUGCAUGCUUGGGAUUUGCUGAUCAAAUUUUAUGAAAUGAAGGUGAGUAUCUUUUUAUGGCCCCACAACGAAGUUGUCGGUGCCACAUAGUUUUACCCUUGUCCGUCAUUCCGCAACAAACCAUUAUACAGAGUUUUUUUCUAAACGUCCACAGAUAUUGGGGUGAUUUUUAUACGACUGCAAAAGAUUUAAUUUUUGUCGUAAAUUGCUAUCACGUUGGCGUCGUCGUCGUCGUCUUGCGUUGUCGUCGUCCGAAUACUUUUAGUUUUCGCACUCUAACUUAAGUAAAAGUGAAUAGAAAUCUAUGAAAUUUUAACACAAGGUUUAUGACCACAAAAGGAAGGUUGGGAUUGAUUUUUGGAGUUUUGGUCCCAAUAUUUUAGGAAUUAGUGGCCAAAAAGGGGCCCAAAUAAGCAUUAUUCUUGGUUUUCGCACCAUAACUUUAGUAUUAGUAAAUAGAAAUCUAUGAAAUUUAAACACAAGGUUUAUGACCAUAAAAGGAAGGUUGGGUUUGAUUUUGGGAGGUUUGAUCCCAACAGUUUAGGAAUAAGGGGCCCAAAGGGUCCAAAAUUGAACUUUGUUUGAUUUCAUCAAAAAUUGAAUAAUUGGGGUUCUUUGAUAUGCCGAAUCUAACUGUGUAUGUAGAUUCUUAAUUUUUGGUCCCGUUUUCAAAUUGGUCUACAUUAAGGUUCAAAGGGUCCAAAAUUAAACGUAGUUUGAUUUUAAAAAAAAUUGAAUCCUUGGGGUUCUUUGAUAUGCUGAAUCUAAAAAUGUACUUAGAUUUUUGAUUAUUGGCCCAGUUUUCAAGUUGGUCCAAAUCGGGGUCCAAAAUUAAACUUUGUUUGAUUUCAUCAAAAAUUGAAUAAUUGGGGUUCUUUGAUAUGCCAAAUCUAACUGUGUAUGUAGAUUCUUAAUUUUUGGUCCCGUUUUCAAAUUGGUCUACAUUAAAGUCCAAAGGUUCCAAAAUUAAACUAAGUUUGAUUUUAACAAAAAUUGAAUUCUUGGGCUUUUUUGAUCUGCUGAUUCUAAACACAUACUUAGAUUUUUGAUUAUGGGCCCAGUUUUCAAGUUAGUUCAAAUCAGGAUCCAAAAUUAUUAUAUUAAGUAUUGUGCAAUAGCAAGAAAUUUUCAAUUGCACAGUAUUCAGCAAUAGCAAGAAAUCUUCAAUUGCACAGUAUUGUGCAAUAGCAAGCAAUUUUCAAUUGCACAGUAUUGCGCAAUAGCAAGAAAUCUUCAAUUGCACAGUAUUGUGCAAUAGCAAAUAUUUUCAAUUGCACUGUAUUGCGCAAUAGCAAGAAAUAUCUAAUUGCACAAUAUUGUACAAUAGCAAGAAAUUUUCAAUUGGAGUUAUCUUCCUUUGUCCAGAAUAGUAGUUGAAUCAAUUUAAAUCAUUGUUUUAUACAAUAUACAAUGUAUAUUCACUUUUACUACCAACUGAUAAAUUAAAACAAUCUUUACCAUUCAGUGAUAACAAGCACUUUAUUUUACAUUUUAAUAUUUUAUGAUGUAUUUAAAUGAGUAGUUAUUGUUGCAAACUCCAUUAAGAAUUUGAAUUGAGAUCAGUUUUGGAAAAAGGGAAAGGGGGAUGUGAAAAAAAAAUGAGGGGGGGGGGGGGGGUUAAAUUUUUCUCAUUUCAGAUUUCACAAAUAAAAAGAAAAUUUCUUCAAACCUUUUUUUGAGAGGAUUCAUAUUCAACAGCAUAGUGAAUUGCUCAAAGGCAAAAAAAAUAUUUUAAGUUCAUUAGACCACAUUCAUUCUGUGUCAGAAACCUAGAUGCUGUGUCAACUAUUUAAUCACAAUCCAAAUUUAGAGCUGAAUCCAGCUUAAAUGUUGUGUCCAUACUUGCCCCAACUGUUCAGGGUUCAACCUCUGCGGUCGUAUAUAGCUGCACCCUGCGGAGCAUCUGGUUGAUAUGUGGGUUAACCAUGAAGAGUUACAGAUCAAGUUUAAGUUUCGUUCCACUCCACUAAUUUUUGCAGAAAUUACGGGCUUUGGACUUUGAUAAAUUGUUGAAAAUCACAGUUAUACAGACAUUUUUCCUAAACACUUUCAGAUAUUGGGGUGAUUUUUAGUAUGUGAGUUAAUCAUGCUGAGUUACAAAUCAAGUUGAAGUUUUGUUCGGCUCCGCUUAAUUUUGCCAAAUUACAGGCUUUGGACUUUGAUAAAUUGUUGAAAUCACAGUUAUACAGAUUUUUUUUCUAAAAGCUUUCAGAAAUUGGGCAAUUUUUGGUAUGUAAGUUACCCUAGGCCUUGUUACAGAUCAAGUAUAAGUUUUGUUUUGCUCGGCUAAUUUUUGUCGAAAUUAUGGGCUUUGGACUUUGAUAAAUUGUUGAAAAUCACAGUUAUACAGACUUUUCUUUACGCCUUCAGAUUUUGAGUUGAUUUUUGAUAUGUGACACUACCAUCAUGUUUGUGUCCACAUGUGUUAUUGAAAUUGGCAUUUUCAACUUUUUGAGACAGGGCCAAUCGUGUCGAUUCGACACAUCUAGUUUUCUUAUUACAAUAAGGAUUUAAAAUCUGAGUUGUACAGCUUUAUAAAGAAUUUGAAUUGAUAGAAUUAGUGUCAAGUGAUUACAAGCUCUAUUUUUAUGCCCCAUGAUAUGAUAGUAGAGGGACAUUAUGUUUUCUGGUCUGUGCCUCCGUUCAUUUGUUCGUCCUUCCGUCCGUGCGUCCAUUCACCCCACUUCAGGUUAAAGUUUUUGGUCAUGGUAGUUUUUGAUGAAGCUGAAGUCCAAUCAACUUGAAACAUACUACACUUGUUGCUUAUGAUAUGAUCUAUCUAAAUUUAAGGCCAAAUAAGACUUUUGACCCCAAUUUCACGGUCCACUGAACAUAGAAAAUGAAAGUGGGAGUUUCAGGUUAAAGUUUUUGGUCAAGGUAGUUUUUGAUGAAGCUGAAGUCCAAUCAAAUUGAAACUUACUACACUUGUUGCUUAUAAUAUGAUCUUUCUAAUUUUAAGGCCAAAUUAGACUUUUGACCCCAAUUUCACGGUCCACUGAACAUAGAAAAUGAAAGUGGGAGUUUCAAGUUAAAGAUUUUGGUCAAGGUAGUUUUUGAUGAAGUUGAAGACCAAACAACUUGAAACUUAGUACUAAUGUUUCCUAUAUUUUUUAUCCAAUUUCACGGUCCAUUGAACAUGGAAAAUGAUAGUGCCAGUGGGGCAUCCAUGUACUUAGGACACAUUCUUGUUUUAUUUACUUAAGCUGGAUUUGACACUUUUUUCAUCUUCAAAUUUUCAAUGCUCAUUACUUUUGUUAUUAGUAAUUUAAAAAAGCAGGGGUAUACUGUUUUACGUCUGUCUGUCCGUCCAUACAUCCAUCCAUCUCAUGAAUAUUUUUGUCACAUCUUUCAGUGUUCUCCCCAGGCCGUUUUAGCGUCGCGGUACCCAGACGCUAUAUUUUUUCACCGUGAUGCUAUAAUAAUUCCCGCAACGCUAUAAUUAUUUUGAAGAUGCUAUUUUACCUGUCCUCAAACUUUCAUCUAUUAUCGAUUAUGAUCAUAAAAAUUAUAUCACCUUUAAUUGUAAUCCCUUUAAGUCGGACACUAAAGGCAAUUAAGAGAUUAAAUAGCCAGGUUUUAAUUGCCCUCAGGGUGAUAACUGUUUGGAUGCGAAUAUCCCAAGCUGACACUUGUGACAUUACUAAACCACGUCUCUGCAAUCACCAAUUUCGACAUGGAAAAAUGCAAUCACAAAAACAAUUUGAAAUCUAUGUUUUGUAUUAUGAAAUUUCGAAGAUUAAAACAAUUUUUUUUUUUAAAAGGUCGUUUAUUUGUACAACUCUCCAAAAAAUACUUUCUUUCUCUUCCGGUAAUCCGAGAGCGAGAAUUUUGGUUUUGAGCUAAAAUCAAUUUUUAUACUUCUUUAAAAAGUGAUCAUAAUUGGCUUAAGUUUAUGUUUAAUUCAUUUAAUGCAUUAAAAGCGUCUUAUUCAUUCACAAUCUCUUGUCAAACAAUGUUUAAUCUGGGACUCAUUUUCGUAAAUGUUUCUACGGCCGCCAUUGCACAUUUUUGUGUAAACUACGGAUUGGUACCGGACCAGAUAUGACAAAAAUCCGCAUUUUCACGAUGACAACAGACGGACGGUAGACAAAAAUAUACCAAUAGAGAAAACUACGCAUUAAUAGACUAUUUGUUAGAUAACUUUGUUGAACAGGUCGGAACCACUACCUUAUAUGGAAAUGCAUAAAUUAGCAUACUUAUGUACUCACACCUGUAAUUGUUUAUUUACAUGUGACGCAAUUUAUUUUUACUUAGGUUUUUGACCAAUCCACUAAAUGAGUCACAAUGCAUGAUGGACUACUACGUGUUUACAAUCAACCAAGAACACGUGUUAUUUACUGAAAUACAACACAUUUUUUCGUGCAAUGCGGGAUUCACAAUUUCGCUUAGUUUUUCAUUUUGUGUAUCCUCAUUUAUAGUUCGUGAUAUAAAGUAUUAAUUCCAUGCUCAGAUUAACUAAGAGUUGUUUCUAUGUGAAGAAAAAAAGGGUUUGAAUUACCCAAUAUAUAGCCAUUUACAUGUUUGAUGAUGGCACAGAAAUUUCAUGUGUUUGUCCACCAGAUGCAACGAAACAACAGCGAAAAACACAAUUACCCAUGAGACAAACUUACUGGUGUAAAGUAAGCCGUUGAUAACAGCCGGUGCUGAUAUUCAAGAGUACAGCAAUGUUCGUGGCAAAUGUGGGAUCCUUGAAUUUUGUGUUCGUAAAAAAAGAAAAGAAAUAUUUACAUACAUGGCAGUGUUAACAAAAUUCAUAAGUAUUUUUGUAGGUCACAUUUCAGUAUAUGGGACUUCCAAACUGUUCCCUUUUUUUUUGAAGGUAGUGAAGUCAGCAACUGUGUUUCAGUUUGUUCGUUUUUAACGGGCUCGGACAUUUGCCAAACUGAAUAAAAUCAUUACAGCUGAUUUCUUAAACCUGCAAAGUAAAACUUUGGUUGGCUUGCUUGCUUUGUUUGUAUAGUUGUUUAUACAAGCUUUGAAACUAAGAUUGACAUCUUUAAACAAUAUAUAUAUAGGCAUAGUUUAACUUGUAUAUUUUAUAUUUUGUACAAUAUACAAAAAAGCAAGCAAGAUAACCAAAGUUUUGCUCCACAUGCAUAAGAAAUAAGCUGUAAUGAUUUUAUCAAUAUGUAUGUGCGACAAGGUGGAAAAUUUGCUAUGUUUUGUGAAAAUUGCAGCGUUGGAUCUAUAAUAAAAAAGAAGAUGUGGUAUGAUUGCCAAUGAGACAGCUGUCCACAAGAGAACAAAAUGACACAGAAAUUAACAUUUAUAGAUCACCGUAUGGCCUUCAACAAUGAGCAAAGCCCAUACCGCAUAGUCAGCUAUAAAAGUCCCCGAUAUGACAAUGUAAAACAAUUCAAACGAGAAAACUAGCGGCCUUAACUAUAUAAAAAAAAAUGAACGAAAAACAAAUAUGUAACACAUAAACAAACGACAACCACUGAAAUACAGGCCCCUAUACAAUAUAUAUUUUUUUGAUGGGAUAGAUUUCUUGUCCUUUUAUAUAUUUAAUUGGGCCGUUUUUUUUUGUUAGGAUUGUUUUACACAAGUAUUUUUUGGGUCAUUAAUAGCUUACUUUUCAGUAUUGGACCUAUGACUGAUUACUUUACUAAAUUAUGUCUUUGUUGGAAAGAUGUCUCAUUUGGCACUCGUACCUCAUCUUCUUAUUUCUAUAUACAAAGCACGUUUUAGAAAAAAAAAUAAUAGGUAAUAUGGCACCCACUAUGAUCCAGAGACUUUUAAUAUUUGAAAUAUUUUACAUAUGUCAACAGGACAGCAGCCGAAUGAUAAAAACCUCUGAGGUAUAUUUUGUGAUAAAAUUAGCAACAAACAGAUAUUAUCGAUGGAUGAAUUUAAACUAUAAAAAAAUGUAUUGAGCUAUAUACCGUACCCGCUCAGUGGCGGAUCCAGGGGGGGCGGGGGUUCCGGGGGAUGGACCCCCUUUUUUGGACGAUCAGUGCAUUUGGAUGGGGACAUGUAGUUGGAACCCCUCCCUUUUUGUCCAGGGUUAGGAUCCCCCUUUUUAAAAUGGCUGGACCCGCCCCUGCCGCUUUCAUAACACUUCUUUUUAGCAUACUGAAUAUUAUGAUGUUCUUACUAUUAGUUCAGGUCCUGAUAAAAAAAAAAUACACAUUCAGUACAGAAAGAAGUGUUUCAAUGAAAGUUUCAUGUUUUUCUAGGCAGAAAUGAUUUUGCAAUGACAUUAUACAGGUUUAAAAGAGCUCAAAUGAUUUUCUUACUGGACAGUGGUCACUUCAUUGGAUAUUUCACUGUGUCAUGUCGUGAAAUUAAUGCAGGUUCAAUUUAUAACAAUGCACAAAACCGGUUCAACUACUUUUGCAAGGCGAAAAAGAAAGUCGAAUCGUGAAGCCAAUAAACAAUAUUUUUUUAAUCUGAGCAUGCAAAUUGAAGAUUACGUUAUAUAUUUUACAUUAAAUAUAUUUGCAGAAUAAAAACUUUGGUAAUGAGAGUCCCAGACAAUAUAUUAAUUGACUGUUUUCCCACUAAUUCCACGUGUUUUAAGUAGUAGUUUACUCGUAGUAGCCCACAAUGCAUUGUAGUUCAUUGAGUCGAUUGGUCAGUUUUUCAAGGCCAUAUUGGCCUUGUGUUUUGGAAAUUAAUAUGCAAAUAUAUUCUGACGUCAGAAAAUCUAGAGUUCUCGACCUGUUGAAAAUACGUAUCAUUUUGAUGUAAAGAUAAGAAACAACAGGGACUAAUUCAUUCAGUGCCAUGAAACAAUGAAUUUCAUAAACAUGAUAAAAAAAAGUUUUUAAAUUGAUAUUUUUUUUUGCUACUUUUGCUUCUUUAUCUUGACUUAAUAUAAUAUAAAAAAAAUAGUUAAUUUUGUGUACUAGAUAUUUAGUUUUGUAUAAAUACAGGUUGCACUAUAAUGAACCAUUCAUUCAUUUGACUUAUUGUUGGGUAACUGAAAGCACAUAUUUAUUCUUAUUUGGCACAAGAGGAAAAAAAUAAUUCUGUAACUAUAAAUGAAUAAAUAAAACAUAAACUGAAACAACUGUUUUUGUUGUUAUAGUUUAAUUGUAUUCUCAGUUAUGAAUUGAACAAUAUAAACUAAAACAUAUAAAGGAAAUAGAGCAGCAACGCGACGCGACAAAUGACAUUAGUUAUUUUUUUUUACGCAAAAUGUGAUGCUAUCCAAAAUUUCUGGGGAGAACACUGAUCUUUCUCAGGAACUACAUCAUGAAAACUUUUAAAAUUUAGUUUCAGGGUUUAUAUAAGUGAGCUAUACCGUGUGAUGCGUUGACAGAUUCAUCACUCAACAACUCCGAACACCUAAAUUUUUUAACACUAUUAAAAUUAUACAGUUGCGUCUGGGGUAUCAUCAGUGAGCAGUAGCUAACAGUCUCACUUGUUUAAUCUUUAUUUAAAACAAGUUCAUAUGAGUGCUAUGUAGAUAUAAUGCUUAUAUAACCAUUUAAUUAACAAUGAAACUUUCAGCUGACUUUUACAGAAUUAUCUCCUUUUAGUGUAAUGGACCACCUUAAAGGGGCACUAGCUGUCAAAUCCAUGUUCACCGAUUUUAAUCAAAUUCUCAUGUUUGAUUAAUAACAAUGUAAAACAUUUAUCCAAACUAUUAACAGUCUAAAAUAAACAAUUAACAGUCACGGGCAAAAAAAAUUGUAGCUUCGUUUCGUGUGAUUUUUAUUCUAGACGCCAUCUAAUUAACUAUCGAGUUGACCUCUAAAGUCAUCUGAUGACCAUAUAAGCGAUGUAAACAUAAAUAAGAUAAAAAUAAAUUAAGCAAACUAGUGCUGUUGGAUUUUUCUAUGUCUAUUUAAUUUCAUAUUAUUGAUGAAAAAUAAAUGUUUAUCAUAGUCUUUACCUGUUUAAGAAUGAUGUUUUGUGGAUCGAAUCUGUCAAUAAAAUGAUCUACCUUUGUUUCACUUUCAAUGUUGACAUUAUUUUCCUUUAAAUAACUUUACACAUACAACUCAUGUGUUAUCAAUCUCAAGCAAGUGGGUUAAAUUGAAGUUCACAUGAAAACAGAUUCAAUGAGGUUUAUAUAUCUCGUAGCUACCCUUUAAGUUGUCUGCAGUUUAUUUACAUAAGGGAAGUCCAAAGUUUUAAAUAUAAGUGCCAUUAUUUUCUUGUGGAAGUUGUUUACAGUACUUCUCAAUAAAUUUCCUUUUGAUAAUGUACUAUGAAUUCAUUAAUAUUCGUUGGAUACCAAUUUUCGUGGAUUUCGUGGGUACAGGGAAACCAUGAAUUUAAAUAUUUAACGAAUUGCAAAUUUUCUAAAGGAAUGUAUGCAGACUUUGCCAAAACCACGAAAUUAGAUAUCCACGAAUAUGCAAGUUUUCCUCAAACCACAAAAAUUGGUACCCACGAAACUACAUGAAUCCACAUUAUGUGUGUUUACUGUUACAUGUGUGUAGGUAGGUACCUUACAUGAAGUAUGGAAUUUUUAAUUUAAUUUUUUUUUUUAUUACAUUAAGUCUAUGGGAACAACAUUGCGACUUAAACAGUACUUAAUAAAAAAUGGUCAAAAACUUUUAGGGUAGGGGAUAAAACUUUAGCAUAGGUAGGGUUACAGAAAACACAUAUACUUUAUUUUUGCCGUUGUAUCUAGUGUUUAAUGUAGAUAAACAUACAUAUUUAUUGUUAUUUCAGCAUGGUAAAGAAUACAAUGAAUCGCCUGCCAGAAUGUUGUCUCAGUCAUUCCACUUAGAUAUCGUGGGAGGGAAAGCCAUUACUGCCAAACAGACAUUACUUGGUGCAAUAGAUACAGUCAUCUCAUCUCAUACUCCACUCAAACGCACAGAAGAUUCUCAUUUUAAAGCUAUUAUCUCACUUGCAUUGAAGUAAGUCACUCAAACGCACAGAAGAUUCUCAUUUUAAAGCUCUUAUCUCAUUUGCAUUGAAGUAAGUCACUCAAACGCACAGAAGAUUCUUAUUUUAAAGCUCUUAUCUCAUUUGCAUUAAAGUUAAUAAAAUAAAAGCACAAAAGACUCUCAUUUUAACGCUUUCAACUUGUAUUAUUAAAAAAAGUCACAUAAACACACAAAAAAUUCUCAUUUUAAAGCUAUUAUCUCACUUGCAUUUAAUUAGGUCACACAAACAUACAGUAGAUUCUCAUUUAUAAAAGCUUUUGUCUCACUUGCAGUAAAGUUAGUAUAAAAAAACGCACAGAAGACUCAUUAUGAAGCUUUUGUCUCUUGUUAUUAAGAUAGUAGAUUAAACGCAUGGAAGAUUCUAAUUUUAAAGCUCUCUUACAAUAUAUUGACAAUACUGUUCUAUUUUACAGUGAAAGGAAACUUCCAACAUGGUUAAAGUUAUUAUUCCGUACACAGAGUUUAAUAGACAAUUAUUACCAAGACUGGAGCUACGUUGCCAGAACAGGUUUGUACAUUCAUACAAUUGACUGACUUAAAAUAUCAUUUUUACUCAAUUUCUAAAAAAGUGAUCUGUAAAAGUUAGAAUAUGUCACUUUUGAGGCAUAAGUUCAAAUCUGAAUUAUUUUACUGUAAAUUCUGAAUUGUGAUUUUUUUUUAUUAUUGUGAACAGAUUUUUUGAAGAAAAAAAAAUUACAUUUAAUUCUGAUUUCUUUUUUUGUGUGCAGCACUCCCUGCAUUUUGUGUCCAUUGUUUGCAGUAAUGAAUGCAUGUCAAAACUUCUGACUUUAAAAUCACUUCCUCCUUGUAUAUAAAAUUUAACAAAAUACUAAGGGAUAAUAAGACAGUACCUUGAUCUAUAAUGGUUUACUUUUAUAAAUUAUGACUUUGCUGGAGAGUUGUCUCAUUGGCACUUGUACCACAUCUUCUUAUAUCUUUUUAUAUUAUAUUUUCUAUAUUUUUAGGUUUUGAUGAUGCUAUCAAGGCUCUCGACAGAUUAAACAAUAUCAACUUCAGACUCCCUGUAGAUUUGGCCGUCAGACCGUUUAGUAACAUCAAAGAUGCAUUCUAAUCACAGACAUUAUAUGUAUUGUCAUAAUAUUAUGUCGGUAGUACAUAAGGAUGUUCGCUACUCUGUUUUAAAAUAACAACAAGCUUUUUAAAAGACUGUAAUAAAUGGACAUAAUAUAAAUAAUGGAACUAAAAUUGAAGAAGAAAAUGUUGAGUCUGUGUCCUUUUAAGCCAUUGAAAAUUUGGCGGGAAAUUAUUCUCUCUAUAUUGUUCAUACAUUUAAAAUUGGGACAAUUUUUCUUUCAAAAGUACAGAAAAAAAACAAGGAUCUGAUAUGAUUUUCAAAUAUGGCUUUUUUAAUGAUUUGUUAUAAAAUUCUGUUAAAAAAACUAAGGGUAAAUAAGCAGGCAAAAUGUUUAAUGGCAUAACAUGGAUAAAACCAGAGGAUUCUGAAUAUCUGGACAAAAAUAUUCAAAACAAGAGUAGAGAACAUCCUUAAGUAUUUGCAAAGCCAAUAGAAAUAUGUGUUGACGGUCAUGUGACCAAAUCAGCAGGUUUUGAACCAUGACUAAAAAUGAAAGGAUAGACUAAUCAAGGUAUUGAAUUUACAAAUGUGGUUGGAAACAUAUAUAUUUAUUUUUGGGUCAAAGGGUAGGUUUUUAGGCAUAUGAAAUACAAAUUUUAUAGGCAGUGGUUGGGUCUGAAGUUAAGCCCUAUGAUAAAAUUAGAUCUUCAAGUAUUAUUGAAAAAUGAAGAUUGUUCCAUGUUCUUCUUUUUCUGAUAAUGAAAUUAUGAAAAAAAUAGUAGAGGUUAGGAGGGAAAAUCCUUAAAUGGCACGACAUGGAUAAAACCAUAGGAAUUUGAAAAUCUGACAAAAAGUCACAAGCAUGAUCAGUUAAUACCCAUAAGCCAAAAUGUAUUUUGUAAUUUUUCUUCUAAACAGUUGUUUGCUUUAAUAAUUCCAAAAUCCCAUUUUUGGUAUAAAUCUUGUACAUGUUACUCAAGGGAGACAAUUACAAGUUUCGUCUGCUUUUCUUCAGACUUUUUGUCAUGUUGUUCAGUCUUUGAAAUAUACUACUUAAAUUUUUCAUUUACAUUCCAUAUUUCAUUUUAAUUUAUUUUUACUGCAAAUUCCAAUGUUUUUACAUUUUAAUGUAAUUUCCGAUAUUUUUGCAUGAGGGCUAUUCCAGAAAAAAAUGUAUGGGGGGGUUGGAAGGCAGUUUUUGUCAGCACCGGCCACCCAGACAAUUGUAAUUGAGAAUUAUAGUGCAUUAUAGUGUGAAAAGUUGCUCUGAUACCCAUCACCCAUGUAUUAUUAAUACAAUGUGCCUUCCAACCCCCCCAUACAUUUUUUUCUGGAAUAGCCCUGAAAUGAUAAGUGGGAAAUUUUUGUAACUGCUUUAUUUUGGCUGAUUUCCUCUGUAUGAUGAAAUUCAAAAUCAAAAUUACUAUUCUGUAAAUUAUUUCUGUUAUCAGAUUCCACCCAGAAAUCAUGAAAUUUAAACUUCUCAAAAUUUGAAACAGCAUAGAAAUUAAAAUCAUGUGGAACAUAAGAGGCACUUUUUCUAGAUCCUCUUACCCAGAACAUAAAACUUUCUAUUUUCUAAGAAUUUUAACAAAAUUAUAAGGAAAAUUCAACACAUAAUUAAUAAAUUUGAAUACCUCCCAUUUCUCCAAGGAUCAAUUUUUGAACAGCCCAAGGCAACUUUUGGGGCUCGAUUAUAUAUCUCUAAAUGAAGAAAUGGCAAUUUUAAUUGUCACUUUAAACAAAAAGAUUGAUAAAUUAAAACCUGCAUUAGUAUUAUAAUUUAAAGUUUAUUCCCAAAAUUUCAUUUGUCAUAUCGUUACAUAAUUCCAUUUUUUUUUAAUUGUCUGAGUUGUAUAUAUAAUGAAAAUUCAUUCCAGUGGACUUUUUUCAUUCAAGUGGAUUUCUUUCAUUCCAGUUCUUUAAUUCCAAGAGGGUCCAUUUGAAAAAUAAUUCUGAACAUAAGAAAUCCAUACUUUUACAUUUGUAUAUAUAUAUGUAAUUUUACAAAUCACAGGUUGUUGGGGAAAUAUUAAAAAAGUUGUGAUAUAUUUAAUAUGAUUUUGUAAAAAUUAUCUUCUUUUGUUAUUAUGUAUAUAUUAUACAUACCCCAUUUUCGUUAUGUAUUAUUAUAUAUGUGAUUUUGUUUUGUUAUGUUUAAAAUAUUGAAAUCCAUUUAUUAUUUUUCUUGAUAUUAUGAAACUGUUUUUUUAAGUGCAAUUGAAGUACUGUUAUUUCCUUUGAUUGAGCUAUAGUGUAUCUUGGCUAUGCAAUUGAAGGGAAUAACUAGCCAGGCAAUAUUUAUUUACAUAAGUUUAUUUAUAUAUCUAUCUAUUUUCUUGUUUAUUUUAUUCUUUGAAUCCAAUAAUGUGAAAUCCAGGUAAUUUUUGUUGUGUUGUCCAUUUAUUUAUUAAAUGGUCUAAUGAUUUAUUCUUUUACGCUGCCAUGUAUUUGUAUAUACAUGUAGAUGGAACUCCCGAUUUUUGUCGACAUUACUGUAAAUUCAGAAUUUAUUGCAAUGUCUUGUCCUGAACAUGCAUGAAAUAUUUGCCACUGGACAUUAAGAAACCAACAAUCAAACAAUAAAUGCAAUGACUCUAUUAUUGCGAAAAAUGCGACAAUUUAAAUUCGCCUUUUAAAAAAAAAAAUUGAUUUAAACAAGAUUUUUCGCAAUAAUGCAAACAUCAAAAAUGACAAAAGCAGAAAGAAAAUGCGUUCAAUAAUUUCUGGAUUUACAGUUCUUUCAGUUUGGUUAUAAUCAUUAAGAUGUGUCUAGAAAAUAUGGUGUAGGACCUAGGACCCUUAUGCGACUUUAUAUGGAUUUAUGUAGAGAUCUUGAUUGACCACAGAUACAAUUUCAUUAUAAACACAUGUUGAGAAAAUUUCCAGUCUUCAAUGAUUUUCUUAUAAAUAUUCUAAGCUUAUGUUAAUAACUUAAUUUGAACAAUUUUGAAUCUAAAGUAAUCUCCCUUUAGCAAGAGUUUCCAACCUAGAUUUUGAAUUGUAUGAAUGAUGAAUUGUUUUUUAAAGCCAAGAAAAUGGUUAUUUUACAGUUUCAAGUUCACAAAUAUUACUUCUCUUGCCAUUAAAAAUGUGCACAUAUAUAAAAUCUCAAUUUUCUGAAUUAGUUGCACAAAUUAACCAGAGGUGAUUUAGUGUUAAUGACAUCUUUUAGCAAUUCCUUCUUACUAUGACGUAAUAACAUGAAAUGUUGGGGAAAGUGCAUUGUGAGUCAUCUAAAUUCACAUGUAUAUCAUUAUGUUUAAAUUGUUUAUUGUAAAGGUUCUUUGUGUUAUUGGUAUGUUAUCAAUACUGGUAAUAAGUGAACAUUUAUUUACAUAUUUAAUUCCAUAGGAGGUUGUGAAAUCUUACUUGCAGUCUUCACGCUGAACUGCUAAAUCUACAGGCCCGCAGCUCAAUUUUUGAAAAUUUUUAGUUAGAUUCUGUUGGCCUGUAGGUCUAAUUUUUACAGGCCCGAGAGCAAUUUUACCAGCCUGGGCUGCCACUCCGCGUGAAGACUGUACUUGUAUUGUUUUAUUGACAAUACCUCUUUACUGUGGAUUCAACUAUUUUCCUGGGUAACAAUUUGCCUGGAUUUAGUAAAAAAAUGUAUUUUUAUGGAUAUUUGAUUAGUAUCCUUGCCAAAGACGUCUGUUUCCAAACCUAUAUGAUAUUUAAACUUUGUUGAACACCUAAAUUCCCUGUUCAUCUAUAUCUAUAAAAUUGGUAAUCCACAAAUAAUAAAUCCACAGUAUUAUUGUUUAUUUUUUAUUUUAUCUUAUUUGAUGAAAAAAAGUAACUUUUGAAUAGAAAAGCAUAAUCUCUUAAGGCUCAUUUAAUUUUCAUAAAAUUUUGACAAAGUAUUUACUUUGACCUUUUAACCAAAAUAUAUAAAUUUCGAAAAAUUUUGAACCAACCAUUUUAUCAGAAAUAUUACACUGGUUAUAUAGCAGUUUGACAAACACCAAUUUUGAUCAUUGAGAAGCUUAAUAUCCCUUUUACAACACAACGUAAUUAAAACGUUAAGCUGAUUUUACAGAGUUAUCUCCCUGUAGGGUUAGGUACCAAGACCAAAAAAACUAAAAGUGGUUAACUUUUUAAAGAAGACCAUGAAACUAAGUAUCCCCCAUGAAACUAAGUAUCCCACAAGCAAAUACUGAUGAAUCCACAGUGGAUUAGACUUGAGUUGAAUCUCCUGUUGACAAUUAUUGUUGAUGUUGCAUUUAUGUCAUGAAUACGAUAUCUAAUAAAUUAUUUCAGCAUGUAA